GUUGUCAUUGGUAUCCAGCACGCGCACAAUGAUGCUAGCGGUGCCGGAUCGCGCGGGGACUCCGCCAUCUACAGCGAGCUCCUAUCCCUGCUGAAGAGAAGCAGCAACCCACAGUAUGAUGCUGAAUAUCUACUGAGAACCUGGAAACCUGCUGAGAAAACCUACAGGAGCAGCAGAUUUUAUCCUGAACUAAUCAGAAUUACUUCAGCUGGACACAGACUGCCUUCUGUUGGAUGCUGUCAAAAUCCUAUAUUCACAUCAGCCACUUACUUUACUCUGGAUCCAAGCAAGUAAACUCAUCCUCUGAGUAGCACAAAGACACUGCUCUACCCUGGACCUUGCUCUGCGCUACACUGGACCCUCCACACUAGACCCUGUUCCUGCUGUCCUCUGAUUCAUCUUUAAAUAACUCAUAACUCUUGUUGCAGAUUAAUGUCUGUCCAUCUUA